rnacentral:rRNA from 1 species
UCGACUGCAUGAAGCCGGAAUCGCUAGUAAUCGCGGAUCAGAAUGCCGCGGUGAAUACGUUCCCGGGUCUUGUACACACCGCCCGUCACACCAUGAGAGUUGGAAAUACCCGAAGCCUGUGAGCUAACAGUAAUGAGGCAGCAGUCGAAGGUAGAGCCAAUGAUUGGGGUGAAGUCGUAACAAGGUAUC